rnacentral:lncRNA from 1 species
GGGGAGUUUGUGCUUUUCAUUAAAACUGCUUUACAUCAUGCAUAUCUUGUGGCUACCCUCUCAAGCAAGGUUGUCAUCUAUAUCAAAAAGGGGGAUAUUGAAAGUGCAUUCUAGACCUUAACAGUCUUUGACAUCUGUGACAAUUUCAUUUGUGUUUCUAACCACAUGCUCAAGUCUAAACAACACCGUCAAAUCUGAAGUGAAGCAUGUAUGGUUAUCCUCCCUCUACUCGGAAAAAAGUAAAAAAG